rnacentral:rRNA from 1 species
CAGCCGUAAACUAUGCGCGUUAGGUGUACUGGUGACCACGAGUCACCGGGGUGCCGAAGGGAAACCGUGAAACGUGCCGCCUGGGAAGUACGGUCGCAAGGCUGAAACUUAAAGGAAUUGGCGGGGGAGCACCACAACGGGUGGAGCCGGCGGUUUAAUUGGACUCAACGCCGGAAAUCUCACCGGAUAGGACAGACAUAUGAUAGUCGGGCUGAAGACUCUACUUGAUGAUCUGAGAGGUGGUGCAUGGCGUCAGUGACU